UCCGAUGUGGUGUAACGGCUAACAUCGCCGUCUUUCAAGUUCCUUAGGAUUUGAUGACCACGGCAGCUCGGGGUUCGAUUCCCCGCAUCGGAG
rnacentral:tRNA from 1 species